rnacentral:rRNA from 1 species
UAAAACGUAGGUGGCGAGCGUUAUCCGGAUUUACUGGGCGUAAAGGGUGUGCAGGCGGGGGAACAAGUGGUGUAUGAAAGUGCUCGGCUCAACCGGGCAAGGUUAUGCCAGACUGUUUUUCUAGAGAGCGAGAGAGGGACGUGGAAUUCCGGGUGUAGUGGUGAAAUGCGUAGAGAUCCGGAGGAACCCCAGAGGCGAAGGCGGCGUCCUGGCUCGCAUCUGACGCUGAGACACGACAGCAUGGGGAGCGAACGGGAUUAGAAACCCCGGUAGUCCAUGCCGUAAACGAUGUCAACUAGGCGCUGGCGGACUCAACCCCGUCGGUGCCGCAGCCAACGCAGUAAGUUGACCGCCUGGGGAGUACGGUCGCAAGGCUA